UGGGGAAUAUUGGGCAAUGGGGGAAACCCUGACCCAGCGACGCCGCGUGAGGGAAGACGGCCUUCGGGUUGUAAACCUCUUUUGUACGGGAAGAAGGAAGUGACGGUACUGUACGAAUAAGUCCCGGCUAACUACGUGCCAGCAGCCGCGGUAAUACGUAGGGGACGAGCGUUGUCCGGAAUUACUGGGCGUAAAGGGCGCGCAGGCUGUGCUGCAAGUCAGCUGUGGAAUGUCUGGGCUUAACCCGGGCAUGCGGUUGAGACUGCAGUGCUGGAGUGCUGUAGAGGCAAGUGGAAUUCCCAGUGUAGCGGUGAAAUGCGUAGAUAUUGGGAAGAACACCGGUGGCGAAGGCGACUUGCUGGGUAGCAACUGACGCUGAGGCGCGAAAGCCAGGGGAGCAAACGG
rnacentral:rRNA from 1 species